CAGCAGUCGCCGCGGUAAUACGUAGGGGGCCAGCGUUGUCCGAAGUUACUGGGCGUAAAGAGCGCGUAGGCGGGUCUUUAAGUGAGGGGUGAAAGGUUCGGGCUCAACCCGGACACUGCCUUUCAUACUGGGGACCUUGAGUGUGGGAGAGGCGAGUGGAAUUCUUGGUGUAGCGGUGAAAUGCGUAGAUAUCAAGAGGAACACCCAUGGCGAAGGCAGCUCGCUGGCCUAUAACUGACGCUGAGGCGCGAAAGCUGGGGGAGCAAACAGGAUUAGAGACCCCAGUAGUCCCUGUCUCUUAUAC
rnacentral:rRNA from 1 species